CCCGCUGAACUUAAGCAUAUUAAUAGGCGGGGCAGAGAAGUACAAUAGUGAUUCUUCAGUAGUGGCGAACGAAGGGGUCAGGUUCUCAGCAUAGUAGAUUGUUCGCCGCAAUUAUGCUUGGUACGUAGCUUUAGCUGGUGAUGAGGGAAGGGCAAGGUCUCCGGAAAGGGACGCUCAGAUUGUUGAUAGCAGACUGUUGCUUUCCUGCAGUGACGGAAGGCGAGGCGCCGCAGAGUCGUGUAUACUGAAAUGCGAGCACUAAGAGUGUGGUAGAGAUUUCACAGGAGGACGGUGCGCCGAAGGCAGGCCGAUAGGGUAGAAGUACUGUGAAGGAAGGUUGAUAAGAACUUUGGAGAGAGAGUUAAGAGUGCUUGAAAUCGCCGGCAGGGAAGAGACCAUGAGGUCGUACAUCGGCAAAGUUGGCCAUGCAAGGCGCAGAUCGGGCUCGCCUGUAAGGCUUCUUACGUGCCAGAACUGCUAUGUCGAGACUACAACGGUACCCGCUAUAUAUGCCUUGAGACCGCUAAACUUUGGGGUCAUGACUGUAUAGCGGUGAACGGACCGAGUCUUAGGGCUGAACGCUGCGAUCCGUUGAAACGGCAGUAGAUCAUUUCGUGCCCUGAUUGUGACCUCGGGGUCUUCCCGUCUUGAAACACGG
rnacentral:rRNA from 1 species